GGCUUUCAAACGCUGAUGGAUGGUAAUGGAUGGUAAUAAGUACCCCAGCCUCCUUGCCCUUGGGUGGACCAAUCCAGAGGCUCUUAUCAGGACCAGCCUGAUUCAUUUCAGGUGUACGCAGUCCCUCCCUUCCGUCUCUCUCUUUCACUCCGCCAUCUUCCCGCUGGUGAUGUCUUGGGCAAAGCUGAGCAGCUUUUUUGGAAAGAUAAUCUGCCUGAGCGGAAGCCGGCGUCAUUUGAAACAAAUCCCUGAAGUCACUGACUGUGAGUUGCUGAAGAAAUCAGACGUGCUUACCACAUGACAUGCAGUGUGAUUCUUCACCAUAAAUUGUAAGGCUUGGACAGACCGACUUAUUGUUCCCUUGUCAUCGUGGGAUUUGUGCUAUUUUUUUGGCAAGUUUUUUUUUUUUUUUUUCUUCCCAGCCUUAGUUUGUUUCAGUUAAAAAGCAGACUUGAAAUAUUAGCAAGAGGACAAAUCUGUAGUCUGUUUUCCUUCCUUAUUUGAUUUGUGGAAGUUGAGACUCAG
rnacentral:lncRNA from 1 species